AGGAAAGCAGGGGAUCGCAAGACCUUGCGCUUUUGGAGCGGCCGAUGUCUGAUUAGCUAGUUGGUGAGGUAAAGGCUUACCAAGGCUUCGAUCAGUAGCUGGUCUGAGAGGACGACCAGCCACACUGGGACUGAGACACGGUCCAGACUUCUAUGGGAGGCAGCAGUGGGGAAUUUUGGACAAUGGGGGAAACCCUGAUCCAGCCAUGCCGCGUGAGUGAAGAAGGCCUUCGGGUUGUAAAGCUCUUUCAGCCGGAACGAAAAGGUUACGGUUAAUACCCGUGACUAAUGACGGUACCGGAAGAAGAAGCAUCGGCUAACUACGUGUUAGCAGCCGCGGUAAUAUGUAGGGUGCGAGCGUUAAUCGGAAUUACUGGGCGUAAAGCGUGCGCAGGCGGUUUUGUAAGUCAGAUGUGAAUCCCCGGGCUCAACCUGGGAACUGCGUUUGAAACUACAAGGCU
rnacentral:rRNA from 1 species